CUUGACUAAACUUAUCACAGAACAUCCAGACACUGUCAUAAUUUCAGUUCUACUUAACGUCUCCUGAACAUUUACAUGACAUAUUUAGAAAAAGGAAAGGUCAGCCUGGAGAAGACACACCUUCUAUGCUGGAAAUUCCUGGUAAGGACAGAUGUCUCAGCUGUCUGUUCUUCUCUGUGCUGUCAUCAGCUGACCUUGAAGCCAGCCUUGAAAGGUCUGUGGGCUUUGUCAUGGUACUCGGACUACUUUCAACAUUCUUUGAUGUCUCAAUGGGUCGGUCAUCUUCUAGCCUACUUGCACGAGCAGUGAGUAGCUGAAGCUUCUCCCUUAGAUUUAAUUCCUGAGAAUCUCUGGUUCCUGCUUCCUUCGGUUCUUUAUUUGAAUGUGUUUCAUUAACUGGUUGAUCUUCAUUUUCCACUUUUGCAGAGGUAGUUGUAUCAUUCCCCGGACUGGUAGACAAGUUGUUUCUUUUUUCCAGCUUAUUCACAGCAACAGGAGUGUUUUCCAACAGCAUAACCCUCUGGCUGAGGUUACCAAUGGCUGAAUCCACGUUUAGAAGCUUGAUGUCAUUCAACUUCUGGUUUGUCACUAUAGUGUUAUUUAGCUC
rnacentral:lncRNA from 1 species